AACGUAGGAGGCGAGCGUUAUCCGGAUUUACUGGGUGUAAAGCGCGUGUAGGCGGUCCUGCAAGUGGCGCGUGAAAGCGCCCGGCUCAACCGGGCGAGGACGUGACCGAACUGCGGGUCUAGAGGCAGGUAGAGGCGUGUGGAAUUCCGGGUGUAGUGGUGAAAUGCGUAGAGAUCCGGAGGAACACCAGUGGCGAAGGCGACACGCUGGGCCUGACCUGACGCUGAGAGGCGAAAGCAUGGGGAGCGAACGGGAUUAGAUACCCCGGUAGUCCCUGA
rnacentral:rRNA from 1 species